rnacentral:rRNA from 1 species
AGAGUUUGAUCAUGGCUCAGAACGAACGCUGGCGGCAGGCUUAACACAUGCAAGUCGAGCGCCCCGCAAGGGGAGCGGCAGACGGGUGAGUAACGCGUGGGAAUCUACCCAACCCUACGGAACAACAGUUGGAAACGACUGCUAACACCGUAUACGCCCUUAGGGGGAAAGAUUUAUCGGGGAUGGAUGAGCCCGCGUUGGAUUAGCUAGUUGGUGGGGUAAAGGCCUACCAAGGCGACGAUCCAUAGCUGGUCUGAGAGGAUGAUCAGCCACAUUGGGACUGAGACACGGCCCAAACUCCUACGGGAGGCAGCAGUGGGGAAUAUUGGACAAUGGGCGCAAGCCUGAUCCAGCCAUGCCGCGUGAAUGAUGAAGGCCUUAGGGUUGUAAAGUUCUUUCACCGGAGAAGAUAAUGACGGUAUCCGGAGAAGAAGCCCCGGCUAACUUCGUGCCAGCAGCCGCGGUAAUACGAAGGGGGCUAGCGUUGUUCGGAAUUACUGGGCGUAAAGCGCACGUAGGCGGACAUUUAAGUCAGGGGUGAAAUCCCGGGGCUCAACCCCGGGAACUGCCUUUGAUACUG